AUUGAACGCUGGCGGCAUGCCUUACACAUGCAAGUCGAACGGCAGCACGGGAGCAAUCCUGGUGGCGAGUGGCGAACGGGUGAGUAAUAUAUCGGAACGUGCCCGGUCGUGGGGAUAACGUAGCGAAAGCUACGCUAAUACCGCAUACGAUCUACGGAUGAAAGCGGGGGGAUCGCAAGACCUCGCGCGAUUGGAGCGGCCGAUAUCAGAUUAGGUAGUUGGUGAGGUAAAGGCUCACCAAGCCGACGAUCUGUAGCUGGUCUGAGAGGACGACCA
rnacentral:rRNA from 1 species